GGCAAUGUGGCCGAGCGGUUAAGGCGCUGUGUUUAGGAACUGAAUAGUCCAUUCCGCAGUGGGAAACCUCGCGAGUUCGAAUCUCGUCAUUGUCA